GAUGAAGAACGCAGUGAAAUGCGAUAAGUAAUGUGAAUUGCAGAAUUCAGUGAAUCAUCGAAUCUUUGAACGCACCUUGCGCCCUUUGGCCAUUCCGAAGGGCAUGCCUGUUUGAGUAUCAUGAACACCUCAACUCUUCAUGGUUUUCCAUGAUGAGCUUGGACUUUGGGGGUCUUGCUGGCCUGUGGGUCGGCUCCUCUCAAAUGAAUCGGCUUGCCGGUUUUUGGUGGGCAUCACAGGUGUGAUAACUAUCUACGCUUGUGGUUUUCCACCAGGGUAACCUUCAGCAGUGGAGGUUCACUGGAGCUUACAAAUGUCUCUCCUCUGUGAGGACAGCCCUUUGAAUGUUUGAUCUCAAAUCAGGUAGGACUACCCGCUGAACUUAAGCAUAUCAAUAAGCGGAGGA
rnacentral:misc_RNA from 1 species